AGGAGAGAAGAAACUAGAAACAUAUUGAAAAUUCACAAGCUGACAUCACACAAGUUUCACUGUUUUUUCAUAAAAAAGAAAGAAAUUUGAUUAAUUGUUGUCAAAAUAGUUGGCGAUUAAUUUA